ACCCGGAGAACUGAAACAUCUUAGUACCCGGAGGAAGAGAAAGAAAAUUCGAUUCCCUUAGUAGCGGCGAGCGAAACGGGAAGAGCCCAAACCAACAAGCUUGCUUGUUGGGGUUGUAGGACACUCUAUACGGAGUUACAAAGGACGACAUUAGACGAAUCAUCUGGAAAGAUGAAUCAAAGAAGGUAAUAAUCCUGUAGUCGAAAAUGUUGUCUCUCUUGAGUGGAUCCUGAGUACGACGGAGCACGUGAAAUUCCGUCGGAAUCUGGGAGGACCAUCUCCUAAGGCUAAAUACUCUCUAGUGACCGAUAGUGAACCAGUACCGUGAGGGAAAGGUGAAAAGCACCCCGGAAGGGGAGUGAAAUAGAACCUGAAACCGUGUGCUUACAAGUAGUCAGAGCCCGUUAAUGGGUGAUGGCGUGCCUUUUGUAGAAUGAACCGGCGAGUUACGAUUUGAUGCAAGGUUAAGCAGUAAAUGUGGAGCCGUAGCGAAAGCGAGUCUGAAUAGGGCGUUUAGUAUUUGGUCGUAGACCCGAAACCAGGUGAUCUACCCUUGGUCAGGUUGAAGUUCAGGUAACACUGAAUGGAGGACCGAACCGACUUACGUUGAAAAGUGAGCGGAUGAACUGAGGGUAGCGGAGAAAUUCCAAUCGAACCUGGAGAUAGCUGGUUCUCUCCGAAAUAGCUUUAGGGCUAGCCUCAAGUGAUGAUUAUUGGAGGUAGAGCACUGUUUGGACGAGGGGCCCCUCUCGGGUUACCGAAUUCAGACAAACUCCGAAUGCCAAUUAAUUUAACUUGGGAGUCAGAACAUGGGUGAUAAGGUCCGUGUUCGAAAGGGAAACAGCCCAGACCACCAGCUAAGGUCCCAAAAUAUAUGUUAAGUGGAAAAGGAUGUGGCGUUGCCCAGACAACUAGGAUGUUGGCUUAGAAGCAGCCAUCAUUUAAAGAGUGCGUAAUAGCUCACUAGUCGAGUGACACUGCGCCGAAAAUGUACCGGGGCUAAACAUAUUACCGAAGCUGUGGAUUGUCCUUUGGACAAUGGUAGGAGAGCGUUCUAAGGGCGUUGAAGCAUGAUCGUAAGGACAUGUGGAGCGCUUAGAAGUGAGAAUGCCGGUGUGAGUAGCGAAAGACGGGUGAGAAUCCCGUCCACCGAUUGACUAAGGUUUCCAGAGGAAGGCUCGUCCGCUCUGGGUUAGUCGGGUCCUAAGCUGAGGCCGACAGGCGUAGGCGAUGGAUAACAGGUUGAUAUUCCUGUACCACCUAUAAUCGUUUUAAUCGAUGGGGGGACGCAGUAGGAUAGGCGAAGCGUGCGAUUGGAUUGCACGUCUAAGCAGUAAGGCUGAGUAUUAGGCAAAUCCGGUACUCGUUAAGGCUGAGCUGUGAUGGGGAGAAGACAUUGUGUCUUCGAGUCGUUGAUUUCACACUGCCGAGAAAAGCCUCUAGAUAGAAAAUAGGUGCCCGUACCGCAAACCGACACAGGUAGUCAAGAUGAGAAUUCUAAGGUGAGCGAGCGAACUCUCGUUAAGGAACUCGGCAAAAUGACCCCGUAACUUCGGGAGAAGGGGUGCUCUUUAGGGUUAACGCCCAGAAGAGCCGCAGUGAAUAGGCCCAAGCGACUGUUUAUCAAAAACACAGGUCUCUGCUAAACCGUAAGGUGAUGUAUAGGGGCUGACGCCUGCCCGGUGCUGGAAGGUUAAGAGGAGUGGUUAGCUUCUGCGAAGCUACGAAUCGAAGCCCCAGUAAACGGCGGCCGUAACUAUAACGGUCCUAAGGUAGCGAAAUUCCUUGUCGGGUAAGUUCCGACCCGCACGAAAGGCGUAACGAUUUGGGCACUGUCUCAACGAGAGACUCGGUGAAAUCAUAGUACCUGUGAAGAUGCAGGUUACCCGCGACAGGACGGAAAGACCCCGUGGAGCUUUACUGUAGCCUGAUAUUGAAAUUCGGCACAGCUUGUACAGGAUAGGUAGGAGCCUUUGAAACGUGAGCGCUAGCUUACGUGGAGGCGCUGGUGGGAUACUACCCUAGCUGUGUUGGCUUUCUAACCCGCACCACUUAUCGUGGUGGGAGACAGUGUCAGGCGGGCAGUUUGACUGGGGCGGUCGCCUCCUAAAAGG
rnacentral:rRNA from 1 species